rnacentral:ncRNA from 1 species
CAGAGUAGACAGCCUUGCGUGAAGUGCCAUCCGGACGGGGAGUUGCCGGAAGGACGAAAAGCGUGAACGGUCACGCUUGCGGUUUGGCUGUCGCAUCCCGCUG